CUGUCCAUGAGAACUUAAAAUCCAGGAGUGAGACAGGCAGAGCAGACCACAGAUAGGGACACCAAGGCUGGAGGAGCCACUGCUUGUACGUAAAGGAGUGACUUGACUGACCUGUGCUGUGGAGGCAGGUUCUCAACAGGACGGUCAAGGAGGGACAGCCUUGGAGCAAAGACCUAAAGGAUGUGAGGAAGAGAACAAAGGAUACCUGGAGGAAACUGCAAGUACAAGGGCCUCGAGAUAAGACUGCUGGAGUCUCUGAGGAAGAACAAAAAGCUGGAGUGGAGCGAGCGAGGAGGAGGGAGAUGAGUCAAAUAUUAGGCAUCCUACAAGGCCCUACCAAUCACCACCUUCUCCGAUCAGCCCUCCUGGAUUUCCCAGCCAACGAUGAUGUCUCUCUCCUCUCAACUCCUCUCUGCACCUCCCUACCAGUACCUGGACAUCAGAUAUGGACAUCAGAAGUCAACAAGACCAGAAGGACUUGGCUAUUGGUUAGAAGAUGAAAACCGUUGGACCCAGGAAUGCUAUUUAAGGUUAUCAAGCACUCAAACUAUAGCUAAGAAUUUUUCUAUAUUGUGGAGAAAUCCUCUUCUCUAGGAAGGCAAUUCUGCUGAGAAAAACUCACUCAUGCAUCAACGCAGCCCCAAGACCUUCAUCGGAGGCAUUUGUGGCUAAAAAGAACCUACUCUUUGAGACAGUUUUUUUCCCCAAAUGUUAACUCCUGCCAAACUGUCCCUUAUUUUGUUUCCUGCUACCCAGAUGCCAGGUUAUUUGAUCUGGCUUGUUCUUAAGAAAAAAAUUGGUAGAGUACAUAAUCAUAUCAUGAGGAUUCUUCAGUUUUUGAUUAAAAAAAAAAUCCUAUCCAACCUGG